CCAGACUCCUACGGGAGGCAGCAGUGGGGAAUAUUGCACAAUGGGGGAAACCCUGAUGCAGCGACGCCGCGUGAGCGAUGAAGUAUUUCGGUAUGUAAAGCUCUCUCAGCAGGGAAGAAAAUGACGGUACCUGACUAAGAAGCCCCGGCUAACUACGUGCCAGCAGCCGCGGUAAUACGUAGGGGGCAAGCGUUAUCCGGAUUUACUGGGUGUAAAGGGGGCGCAGACGGCAGCGCAAGCCAGGAGUGAAAGCCCGGGGCCCAACCCCGUGACUGCUCUUGGAACUGCGCGGCUGGAGUGCAGGAGGGGCAGGCGGAAUUCCUGGUGUAGCGGUGAAAUGCGUAGAUAUCAGGAGGAACACCAGUGGCGAAGGCGGCCUACUGGACGGUGACUGACGCUGAGGCUCGAAAGCGUGGGGAGCAAACAGGAUUAGAUACCCUCGUA
rnacentral:rRNA from 1 species